rnacentral:rRNA from 1 species
GGACAGAAAGACCCUAUGAAGCUUGACUGUAUCUUGGAAUUGGGUUCGGGCUCUUCUUGCGCAGCCUAGGUGGGAGGCUUUGAAGGCUCUCUUCCGGGAGAGCUGGAGCCAUCAGUGAGAGACCACUCUGGAUGAGCUAGAAUUCUAAUGGCGAUCCUUGAAUCAGGACGCUUGACAGUUUCAGGUGGGCAGUUUUUCUGGGGCGGAAACCUCCUAAAAGGUAACGGAGGUGUGCAAAGGUUCCCUCAGCCUGGACGGAAAUCAGGCAUUGAGUGCAAAGGCAAAAGGGGGCUUGACUGCAAGACCUACAAGUCGAGCAGGGACGAAAGUCGGCCUUAGUGAUCCGACGGUGCCGUGUGGAAGGGCCGUCGCUCAACGGAUAAAAGUUACUCUAGGGAUAACAGGCUGA